rnacentral:rRNA from 1 species
UACGUAGGUGGCAAGCGUUGUCCGGAUUUACUGGGCGUAAAGAGCGCGCAGGCGGUCGUGCAAGUCGCGUGUGAAAGCCCCCGGCUCAACUGGGGAGGGUCACGCGAUACUGCUCGACUCGAAGGCAGGAGAGGGAAGUGGAAUUCCCGGUGUAGUGGUGAAAUGCGUAGAUAUCGGGAGGAACACCAGUGGCGAAGGCGACUUCCUGGCCUGUUCUUGACGCUGAGGCGCGAAAGCUAGGGUAGCAAACGAG